AUUGAACGCUGGCGGCAGGCCUAACACAUGCAAGUCGAGCGAGCGGCGGACGGGUGAGUAAUGUCUGGGAAACUGCCUGAUGGAGGGGGAUAACUACUGGAAACGGUAGCUAAUCCCGCAUACUAUCGGAUGAACCCAUAUGGGAUUAGCUAGUAGGUGGGGUAACGGCUCACCUAGGCGACGAUCCCUAGCUGGUCUGAGAGGAUGACCAGCCACACUGGAACUGAGACACGGUCCAGACUCCUACGGGAGGCAGCAGUGGGGAAUAUUGCACAAUGGGCGCAAGCCUGAUGCAGCCAUGCCGCGUGUAUGAAGAAGGCCUUCGGGUUGUAAAGUACUUUCAGCGGGGAGGCGUUACCCGCAGAAGAAGCACCGGCUAACUCCGUGCCAGCAGCCGCGGUAAUAC
rnacentral:rRNA from 1 species